UACCAGCACCCCGAGUGGUCGGGACGUUUAUUGGGCCUAAAGCAUCCGUAGCCGGUUCUACAAGUCUUCCGUUAAAUCCACCUGCUUAACAGAUGGGCUGCGGAAGAUACUAUAGAGCUAGGAGGCGGGAGAGGCAAGCGGUACUCGAUGGGUAGGGGUAAAAUCCGUUGAUCCAUUGAAGACCACCAGUGGCGAAGGCGGCUUGCCAGAACGCGAUCGACGGUGAGGGAUGAAAGCGGGGGGAGCAAACAGG
rnacentral:rRNA from 1 species